rnacentral:misc_RNA from 1 species
AUACACACCCUAGCAAUUUACUGCGGAGCUGCAUUGUUGACACAAUGGCGAGCGCUGAGGAGAAAAACGCAGGCCUCGACUCGUCAGACUUGAGUUUAAUUAAAAGCAUCAUGACAGAUUCAAAUUCUGCACAUGAAAGUGUAGAAAAGAGUUGCUCAAUGCCGGGUGCACAGCUGUCAGACAAACAGACAUUCAAGAACAGGGAAGGACAUGUCGUUCACGGGUUCCCGGUGCUGGUAGAUUUUAGGAGACUAAUACAGCUUGCACCCAGCCUCGCAGCUCUUGCAUGCGAUGGAACCAAUGCCAUGAUACCAGGAAUUAGUAACAGAGACCUGCUGCAUGCUGUGGUUGGACUAUAUGAUGUAUCUCUAUCAGACAUGACUCCAGAUGUUCUCUACUCCUCAGUCUGUGAUAAAUGGGCAAGGACCAUUGUACUGGUCAGAGAUGUUCAAGAAACUGUGGAAGAUUUAACUAAAAGAAAGGCAACAAGGAGAAACUUAGCCAAAAAGGUCGAUGAUGAAGAUCAAGCAAAAGAAGAGGGUGAAGAAGACAAGUAUGAGGAGGAGGAAGCUAGUCCCAGCAAGUUUGCUACAGUGUACAGUGAUACAGAGUCGGAGGAGGAGGAGGAAGAAGACGAUGAAGAAGAUUUCUCUAAAGGAAUCAACAGCUUUAUAAAGAAGGCAGCUGAGCGACGCACACAACAGAAAGUGACGGAAACGGUAUCUCAGGACAUGGUGGGAAUUGAGAAUAGAAUCAUUGGUGCAAUCACUUUUGAGAAGAAAUACAUACAAAAGGACAGAGUGAUACAUCUUACUUUGCUCUCUGUGAGGAAAAGGUACAGGAAGUUUGGAAUUGGAAAGUACUUAUUGCAGCAAAUUUUGGAACCCGAGGUGGUGGGACAUUAUGAUGCAAUAGUUGUUCAUGCAGACAAUGGUGCUGUCGACUUUUUCCAGAAGUUUGGUUUCUCUGAUGACAUUGUUCUCAACAGCCGGUGGAGUGAACUAGCAGAACAGUUCACAAACUGUACAUUGAUGGCAUACCUUCCAGCAUUUUCUGGUCACACAUUACUGUCUACCUUAAAAAUCCCAGGUUUAGAAGUGUUUGAGUUAGAACAACAGUUCAAUAAGUGGAAAGAGAAGACCACAGAGGUUUACCAGCAACAGGUGUCCAUAGUGAUGAGAAUGAAGCAUGAAAUCAUUGAGCUCAAAAGCAUGAAUGAGAAACAGAACGAGUUGAUAGAUACAUUGAUUUUGGAAAAUGAGAGACUGAAAAAAGAAAAGCUGAUGAUUGAGAAAGAAUACCUGGACCAUCGUUUGACAACAGCCAGAACUGUGGCCUAUGGAAGUGAUAAAGUCAAUGAUAGCAAUCCAUGGCAUAUUGUAUUAUGUCAGUGAAUUAGCUACUCUAGUAAUUGCAUAUGAUGAAGAUGACAUUGAUACCAGUGAUCUAAUAUCCGGCCUACAACGGGAGGUGGAUCUAAUGGAUCUAGCCAUCAAACGAGAGCGUCUCCAGUCACUGGUUGAUUCAGACCCCAUCACCAAGAGCAAAUUCACCACAGUCGAUGAGAGCCAAUACAUGUCAUUCCCAACAACAAGAAAUAAGAAGCAGGGAGAACCAUACGACCACAUGAAGGACGCCGCAUUCUUCUAUGAUGUUACUGAACAAUUCAAGAAAGGAAUGAAAUUAGACCCACAAAUCAAGGGAAGUUAUGAAGUCACAACUAUUUCUAAGGCGACAUUGACCGAUUCCUAUGUGGAGAAAUAUAGGGAGCAGAUCAAGAGAAUGAAGGAACCAACCUUGAUUGCCGACCUCUAUUUCUGUGGGGGUCUAGAGCACCCCGAGAGACUGAACGACAUCAUCAAACAUGGCUUCAAAGAGCAAGAUUUUGUGUUUGGGGAAUUUGGACGAGGGUUAUAUUUUUCCAAGUAUCCUUCUAAAGCUGCGCAGUUUUCUGCACAUGAGAAAAUUCUCCUUGUGGAGGUUGGCCUAGGUAACAUUGAGACAGUCAGCAAACAGGAUAAAACCCGGAAAUCCCCCAGUAGUCCGGAGUUUGAUUCAAUCAUUACACCCGGUCGUCUUCAUACUUCACAGGGAGUGGGUGAUAUGGUCUACAAUGAGGAAUAUAUCGUUUAUAACAUCUCACAGGUCAUGCCUCUGUGUCUGAUCAGCUAUGCCGGAACCUGAGGCCGUCCAAAUAACCCCCGCCCCCUCCAUCCACAUCAGUCAACACCCCGGCCCCCUCUCCCUCCCUCAGAAUCAUCCAGUAGAGACCAGUUCUUGUGUGUCAAUCUGUCCGUGGUCCAGAAUAUAGAUUUCAUUCUAGACAUUUUAUUACAAGUCAUUGCAUUGUUCUGUGUGAUGUCACAUAUUUAUAUAUAGUUUAUACCUGGUACAUUUAUAUAUAAUUAUUUAUUUUUGAAAGAGAUAAAAAAAAGUGUACCUUG